UUAAGCGACUAAGCGUACACGGUGGAUGCCCUGGCAGUCAGAGGCGAUGAAGGACGUGCUAAUCUGCGAUAAGCGUCGGUAAGGUGAUAUGAACCGUUAUAACCGGCGAUUUCCGAAUGGGGAAACCCAGUGUGUUUCGACACACUAUCAUUAACUGAAUCCAUAGGUUAAUGAGGCGAACCGGGGGAACUGAAACAUCUAAGUACCCCGAGGAAAAGAAAUCAACCGAGAUUCCCCCAGUAGCGGCGAGCGAACGGGGAGGAGCCCAGAGCCUGAAUCAGUGUGUGUGUUAGUGGAAGCGUCUGGAAAGGCGCGCGAUACAGGGUGACAGCCCCGUACACAAAAAUGCACAUACUGUGAGCUCGAUGAGUAGGGCGGGACACGUGGUAUCCUGUCUGAAUAUGGGGGGACCAUCCUCCAAGGCUAAAUACUCCUGACUGACCGAUAGUGAACCAGUACCGUGAGGGAAAGGCGAAAAGAACCCCGGCGAGGGGAGUGAAAAAGAACCUGAAACCGUGUACGUACAAGCAGUGGGAGCCUCUUUAUGGGGUGACUGCGUACCUUUUGUAUAAUGGGUCAGCGACUUAUAUUCUGUAGCAAGGUUAACCGAAUAGGGGAGCCGAAGGGAAACCGAGUCUUAACUGGGCGUUAAGUUGCAGGGUAUAGACCCGAAACCCGGUGAUCUAGCCAUGGGCAGGUUGAAGGUUGGGUAACACUAACUGGAGGACCGAACCGACUAAUGUUGAAAAAUUAGCGGAUGACUUGUGGCUGGGGGUGAAAGGCCAAUCAAACCGGGAGAUAGCUGGUUCUCCCCGAAAGCUAUUUAGGUAGCGCCUCGUGAAUUCAUCUCCGGGGGUAGAGCACUGUUUCGGCAAGGGGGUCAUCCCGACUUACCAACCCGAUGCAAACUGCGAAUACCGGAGAAUGUUAUCACGGGAGACACACGGCGGGUGCUAACGUCCGUCGUGAAGAGGGAAACAACCCAGACCGCCAGCUAAGGUCCCAAAGUCAUGGUUAAGUGGGAAACGAUGUGGGAAGGCCCAGACAGCCAGGAUGUUGGCUUAGAAGCAGCCAUCAUUUAAAGAAAGCGUAAUAGCUCACUGGUCGAGUCGGCCUGCGCGGAAGAUGUAACGGGGCUAAACCAUGCACCGAAGCUGCGGCAGCGACGCUUAUGCGUUGUUGGGUAGGGGAGCGUUCUGUAAGCCUGCGAAGGUGUACUGUGAGGUAUGCUGGAGGUAUCAGAAGUGCGAAUGCUGACAUAAGUAACGAUAAAGCGGGUGAAAAGCCCGCUCGCCGGAAGACCAAGGGUUCCUGUCCAACGUUAAUCGGGGCAGGGUGAGUCGACCCCUAAGGCGAGGCCGAAAGGCGUAGUCGAUGGGAAACAGGUUAAUAUUCCUGUACUUGGUGUUACUGCGAAGGGGGGACGGAGAAGGCUAUGUUGGCCGGGCGACGGUUGUCCCGGUUUAAGCGUGUAGGCUGGUUUUCCAGGCAAAUCCGGAAAAUCAAGGCUGAGGCGUGAUGACGAGGCACUACGGUGCUGAAGCAACAAAUGCCCUGCUUCCAGGAAAAGCCUCUAAGCAUCAGGUAACAUCAAAUCGUACCCCAAACCGACACAGGUGGUCAGGUAGAGAAUACCAAGGCGCUUGAGAGAACUCGGGUGAAGGAACUAGGCAAAAUGGUGCCGUAACUUCGGGAGAAGGCACGCUGAUACGUAGGUGAAGUCCCUUGCGGAUGGAGCUGAAAUCAGUCGAAGAUACCAGCUGGCUGCAACUGUUUAUUAAAAACACAGCACUGUGCAAACACGAAAGUGGACGUAUACGGUGUGACGCCUGCCCGGUGCCGGAAGGUUAAUUGAUGGGGUUAGCGGUAACGCGAAGCUCUUGAUCGAAGCCCCGGUAAACGGCGGCCGUAACUAUAACGGUCCUAAGGUAGCGAAAUUCCUUGUCGGGUAAGUUCCGACCUGCACGAAUGGCGUAAUGAUGGCCAGGCUGUCUCCACCCGAGACUCAGUGAAAUUGAACUCGCUGUGAAGAUGCAGUGUACCCGCGGCAAGACGGAAAGACCCCGUGAACCUUUACUAUAGCUUGACACUGAACAUUGAGCCUUGAUGUGUAGGAUAGGUGGGAGGCUUUGAAGUGUGGACGCCAGUCUGCAUGGAGCCGACCUUGAAAUACCACCCUUUAAUGUUUGAUGUUCUAACGUUGACCCGUGAUCCGGGUUGCGGACAGUGUCUGGUGGGUAGUUUGACUGGGGCGGUCUCCUCCUAAAGAGUAACGGAGGAGCACGAAGGUUGGCUAAUCCUGGUCGGACAUCAGGAGGUUAGUGCAAUGGCAUAAGCCAGCUUGACUGCGAGCGUGACGGCGCGAGCAGGUGCGAAAGCAGGUCAUAGUGAUCCGGUGGUUCUGAAUGGAAGGGCCAUCGCUCAACGGAUAAAAGGUACUCCGGGGAUAACAGGCUGAUACCGCCCAAGAGUUCAUAUCGACGGCGGUGUUUGGCACCUCGAUGUCGGCUCAUCACAUCCUGGGGCUGAAGUAGGUCCCAAGGGUAUGGCUGUUCGCCAUUUAAAGUGGUACGCGAGCUGGGUUUAGAACGUCGUGAGACAGUUCGGUCCCUAUCUGCCGUGGGCGCUGGAGAACUGAGGGGGGCUGCUCCUAGUACGAGAGGACCGGAGUGGACGCAUCACUGGUGUUCGGGUUGUCAUGCCAAUGGCACUGCCCGGUAGCUAAAUGCGGAAGAGAUAAGUGCUGAAAGCAUCUAAGCACGAAACUUGCCCCGAGAUGAGUUCUCCCUGACUCCUUGAGAGUCCUGAAGGAACGUUGAAGACGACGACGUUGAUAGGCCGGGUGUGUAAGCGCAGCGAUGCGUUGAGCUAACCGGUACUAAUGAACCGUGAGGCUUAACCUU
rnacentral:rRNA from 1 species